rnacentral:rRNA from 1 species
GACAGAGGGUGCAAACGUUGUUCGGAAUUACUGGGCGUAAAGCGCGUGUAGGCGGCUUGGCAAGUCGGGUGUGAAAGCCCCGGGCUCAACCUGGGAAGUGCACUCGAAACUGCUUCGCUUGAGUAUCGGAGAGGGAAGUGGAAUUCUCGGUGUAGAGGUGAAAUUCGUAGAUAUCGAGAGGAACAUCGGUGGCGAAGGCGGCUUCCUGGACGAUUACUGACGCUGAGACGCGAAAGCGUGGGGAGCAAACAGG